rfam:Stegodyphus mimosarum contig69286, whole genome shotgun sequence.
GCCUUCUUGGUGUAGUGGUUAGCACGCUGGACCUGUAUUCGAGAAGUCCGUGGUUCGAGUCCCGGCGAGGUCA